UAAUGGCUCGAGAUAUUUAGCUAUCCAUACAUAACCAUGUAGUAAUCUUAUACAUGUGAAUAGUCGUUGUCGGCCCUGUGACUUGAAGGUUUUGAUGCAAAACAUGGCCAGGCGAUUAGCAUUUUCAGAAGGAAGCCAGUAAUGGCAGCCCCCAUAUUUUUCACAUGACAGGUAUGCUUUAAAAUAAAAAAAAAAGUAAAUUUCUUAUGGCCACACACACACAUGAUCACUCCGGGUGUUUCCAAUUAGGGAGAGCUACAGGUGAUUCAAUUAGUACAACAAGCUGCUGGAUUUCCAGCUAUGGAGUCUGCAGAGAUAAGACAGGAGGUAUUGCACACGUGAGAACCGUAUAAACAAGAUUUUAGCUACUUGCUCUCCUUCAGGCAAUGCGGUAAAGAAGUGAUGUCAC